AUACGGAGGGUCCGAGCGUUAUCCGGAAUCAUUGGGUUUAAAGGGUCCGUAGGCGGGUUUGUAAGUCAGUGGUGAAAGUUUUCGGCUCAACCGGAAAAUUGCCAUUGAUACUGCAAGUCUUGAAUCAUUAUGAAGUGGUUAGAAUGUGUAGUGUAGCGGUGAAAUGCAUAGAUAUUACACAGAAUACCGAUUGCGAAGGCAGAUCACUAAUAAUGUAUUGACGCUAAGGGACGAAAGCGUGGGUAGCGAACAGGAUUAGAAACCCGAGUAGUCC
rnacentral:rRNA from 1 species